GUCCUAUAAAGAUGUAUUAACGCGAGACAGUUGGGCAUAUCCCUUUAGGAUGAAGUUUAUCAGAAGCUUUGAUGAUAAGUCUUGUUGCGUGGCUACGGUCGAAACAAGGUGAGUCAGGGUGGAAUAGGUUAACUGUAAGACCUUGAGCUGGAAAACUCUAAAAUUGACCUAGAGAUACAAAAAAAACACACAGAAAUGUUUUAGUAUCUAUAGUUACGGUAAA
rnacentral:sRNA from 12 species